rnacentral:pre_miRNA from 1 species
UGAUGAUGAUGAUGAUGAUGAUGAUGAUGAUGGUGAUGUUGAUAAUGAUGAUGUUAAUGAUGAUUUUCAUCCUCAUCAUUAUCAUCAUCUGUAUCA